rnacentral:lncRNA from 1 species
UUGGAACAUGUUGAGAAGACAUUGUUGUAAUUAAGCACAAGUUAAGCAUACAUAAUAAGCACUUCACAAUCAACCUUUUUUUGAUAUGUGCUCUGUGUAUAUAUUUUAAACAAGUACAGCAGGUAAUUUAAAAAUCUCUUUGGCUGUUUCUUACGUCAUAAUAAUCACACGAUAUAUAGAGAUAUUUAUACACAACUCUGUCUUUCCCACUGGAUCAUAAAAUCCUUUUGGGCAAGGGACAUAUCUUACUCAUUUUCAUCUUCUUCACUUCACUCAUCGUAAAUACUUAUAAAAAGUGGACAGCAAGUGUUUGAGGAACUGGAUUGAAUCAUUGGGUAAGAGUAAAUUACUAUCUGUUCUUUUGGGAGAGACCAAUGUCUCAGACAAUAAAGAGUAAUAGUUUAAAGGGACCGAAUCCCCAUUCCCACUAGAAGGUAACCAUUUUGGAAUUAAUUAUGCCAACCUCCUCCCUAUAAAAAAAUUAAAAAAUUAGCUGGACGUGGUGGCACG